rnacentral:lncRNA from 1 species
GAAGGACUGGGUCUUACGGUAGGUGCAUAUUUAAUUUCUAGGAAACUGUCAAACUGUUUUCCAAUGUAGCUAUACCUUUUUACAGAUCAACCAGCAGUGAAAGUGAGUUCCAGUUCCUCCAUGUCCACGCCAACACUUUCAGCAACUUUAAAAGGUCUCCAUGAAGUUCUCCACUUGUGGUCUCCCCACCAUUCAACCGGUAUAAUCACCCCCACCUUCGCUGCCAUCAGACACAGCCGCAUAUCUUCCUUUCUGCUCGUUCCUCAUAGAGGAUGGUCUCACUACCACCCCUCAGCCUUCUCUGCAGAGUGCAUGAUUCUUCUCUUCCUGGUAAGAGCCAGUGAGCAUUUUCCUCUGUUCAUCUCCCCAGUUAAUGCUUCCAGAGCUGUCUCAAUCCCUUGAAGAACCUCCCCUUUGGCUGGGAUGUUCUUGGCAAGUAGGAGGCCUGUUGCUUCACAGAAAGAAGUAGCUUGGAAGGUGCCCCGUCAAGCAGCCUAAGCGCUGGCAGCAUUGCUUAGACCUGGUCUGCACCCUGGAAUGAGCUCCACAAUGGUUACAACGCCCUUCUGGGAAUGUGGCCAUUUGGGGCCUUAAAGAGAACAGCUGGGAUGCUUUUCCUCUUUUGAAGUUGUCUUUGUGUUUGUUUGUUUUUUAAAAUAAACCUUUUCUGUUUGAAAGAAACCUGGAUUUUACAAAUUCACCUGCUCAUAUUUCCCAUUUUAGGUCUUUUAUCUCUCCAGCCAUCAGGGAAAAAAUAACGUUGGCAGCAGUAAAGUAGACUGGCCGCUCUUAUCUCUGUCAAACUUGGGGGAAAUGUUGUCAGAACGCCUGGCUCACAUGACAGGGAUAUUUUUCUUCUGGUCUUGAUCCUGUU